AAUGAUGAAUGUCAUAGAUUAGACAUAUAAUAGUUUAUUCUAUAAAUGAAAGUGUAAGCAUUCCACCUCAAGAGUAAUUUGGCAACAUUGGAACUGAAAUCAUUAGACCGUUUCUGAAACCAGUAGUGAAGUAUGUUGUUUAAUUUGAUAAUCCGCAAAAAACCUUACCACAAUUUGAAUAUUUAUAUCAUUUUUCUGAUCUAUUCAAUGAAAAGAAAAAAAUGUAUUUACAAGCGUUGCACGGCUGUCUUCAGUUAAUGUCGUGAGACUUUGGUUAGUUCCAUUAAAUUAACGUAAACCCUCACUUUAUUUUUAUAUAAAGUAGUUCCCCACUAAAUUGGAUAAGAUAACAGGGACUAAGACAAGUCAUCAUGGCCUGAAUAUUGU
rnacentral:rRNA from 1 species